rnacentral:rRNA from 1 species
GCGCGUGGCCGAGAGCGCCAUGGAACCACCCAGUCUCCAUCCCGAACCUGGUCGUGCCCCAUGGCAGCGCCGGAGAGUACUGCGCGGGUAACUGCGUGGGAGGUGAGGCCGCUGCGCGCA